GGGUGUCGGGGCGUGAGGAGGGAGUAGGCGUAGAGAGAGGGCGUGAGGAGGGAGCAGGGUAGAGCGGCGGCGGUGGUUAUCGCGGGUUAGGGUCGCUUGAGGCCGCCCUUAGCUGCCGUGGGUAGUGUGGUUGCACUGGGGCUGCGAAGCGAGAAGGUAGGACAGGCCACUCUAAGCCGCGUGCGUAGGAGGUCGCAGGUUCGCGCCGGCAGAGGGCAGUAAUCCCAAAGCAAGCAGCUACCUAGGUCGCGACCGGCCGCUGCUCCCGGCGGUCUAGGCGCUGGACCCUCCGAGGAGGACAUCCUAUACCCUCCGAGGAGGACAUCCUAUGCCCUCGUCGCGUGGCGUGGGACGUCAGCGGCCAAGCCCUGCUCGUGUCGCCGAGCUCCUGCGGCCGCUGUUUGCGGCCGCGAGGAGACGAGGUAGGUGGACCUGCCGACGAUGAGGCGGUUUCUGCAGUGGAUGUCGACACCUAUGACACCGAUGUGUAACUUGAACUCGAGGAGUUGUGCCUUGUGCCGGUUGCAACCCAGGUUCAUGCCCUUCAUCUAGUCCUUUCCACGAGACGAGAACGCGUACAUACCACCGCAGAGGCCGCAUCGCUACGAAGAACUCCACUGACCGCACUGCCGCCGACACAUACCGUCACUGGUGUUCGAGAAGCCUACUACCAGAACGCCGUGUACCGCGGCCUCGACUCGGACCCGUACUCCUCGCUAGCGAUGCACGCCCAGGAGCUGGACGAACCGGAGUUGGACGUCUGGAAGCGGUUCCAAGUGGAGUUCAGGGUGUGAUACCUACUUUAAUCCCUCCACAUUGACAAUGCUCGUUUCUUGGACACUCGUCUCGACUUCAUAUAUUAAGAAAACACAGCGACAAAGCACACAGUUCAGCUUACGAUGAGAAUAAUAAUAAUAUCUCACAGGACUACGUUCAAAGACUUAAUACGGAGAACUUGAACGCUCAACCCUAUAGAACGUUUGCAAAAUUGAAAAUUUGAGCUUUGACAAGGGAAAAAAACAAACUAAGUUCGAAUGAGAGCAAUAUUACAUAACACAUCAACAACAAAGUUUGACAAAACGAUGUUCAUGGUAUUAAACGUAACUUCUAUAACAUAAGACAACGACAUAGUAACAAAUUAUUUUGGUGUUGUACUACGAGUGUACUCUGUAGGUGUAAUACACACAACUAAACCAUUAUCCUCACAGGAACAGGACCCGGAUAUGACGUAAAACUGAGGAUACAAAGACACGCGCACACAAAUUAACUACAACGAAGUUGAAACUUGACGAAGAUAUAUACCGGAUAUGACGUUAACUCUAAAUUUUAACACCAACAAGGAGAAAAUGUAUUCGAGUUCACACUUCACACUUCGUUCACACUUCGGCACUUCAGGAUCAGUCACUUCUCAUUCGUAUACACAACAUUUCUAACAUUAUCUAAAUAAAUC
rnacentral:rRNA from 1 species